rnacentral:pre_miRNA from 8 species
GAGUAUUUGGUCAAAUGGUCGCUCACAUCUCCUUAUCACUUUUCCAGCCCAGCUAACGAUGGUGAAUCCGUUGGACGGAGAACUGAUAAGGGCAUGUGGCUGACACAUACAGCUUUGUGUCCG